rnacentral:rRNA from 1 species
GACGAACGCUGGCGGCGUGCCUAAUACAUGCAAGUCGAACGCACUCUCGUUUAGAUUGAAGGAGCUUGCUCCUGAUUGAUAAACAUUUGAGUGAGUGGCGGACGGGUGAGUAACACGUGGGUAACCUGCCCUAAAGUGGGGGAUAACAUUUGGAAACAGAUGCUAAUACCGCAUAAAACCUAACACCGCAUGGUGUAGGGUUGAAAGAUGGUUUCGGCUAUCACUUUAGGAUGGACCCGCGGUGCAUUAGUUAGUUGGUGAGGUAAAGGCUCACCAAGACCGUGAUGCAUAGCCGACCUGAGAGGGUAAUCGGCCACACUGGGACUGAGACACGGCCCAGACUCCUACGGGAGCAGCAGUAGGGAAUCUUCCACAAUGGACGAAAGUCUGAUGGACGCAACGCCGCGUGAGUGAAGAAGGUUUCGGAUCGUAAAACUCUGUUGUUGGAGAAGAAUGUAUCUAGAUAGUAACUGAUCAGGUAGUGACGGUAUCCAACCAGAAA